CGUGAGACAGUUCGGUCCCUAUCCGUCGCGGGCGCAGGAAAUUUGAGAGGAGCUGUCCUUAGUACGAGAGGACCGGGAUGGACGCACCGCUGGUGUACCAGUUGUUCUGCCAAGGGCAUCGCUGGGUAGCUAUGUGCGGACGGGAUAAGUGCUGAAAGCAUCUAAGCAUGAAGCCCCCCUCAAGAUGAGAUUUCCCAUUCCGCAAGGAAGUAAGAUCCCUGAAAGAUGAUCAGGUUGAUAGGUCUGAGGUGGAAGUGUGGCGACACAUGGAGCUGACAGAUACUAAUCGAUCGAGGACUUAACCAAUUU
rnacentral:rRNA from 1 species